GUCAGCCAAGCACUUCCAGUGCUAGAAGCCAGCUGCCAGCAUCAGCUGCACAGACCAGUUCAGCUACAGCAUCAGCUGCACAGGACCAUCCAGUUCAGCUACAGCAUCAGCUGCACAGGCCAGUUCAGCUACAGCAUCAGCUGCACAGGCCAGUUCAGCUACAGUAUCAGCUGCACAGACCAGUUCAGCUACAGCAUCAGCUGCACAGGCCAGUUCAGCUACAGCAUCAGCUGCACAGGCCAGUUCAGCUACAGCAUCAGCUGCACAGGCCAGUUCAGCUACAGCAUCAGCUGCACAGGCCAGUUCAGCCACAGCAUCAGCUGCCCAGGCCAUUUCAGCUACAGAAUCAGCUGCACAGGCCAGUUCAGCUACAGCAUCAGCUGCACAGACCAAUUCAGAGGCACACAAAGCAUCAGCUACACAGACCAGGUCACCACAGAAAGCACCAGCUACACAGACCAGGACACCACAGAAAGCACCGACUCUGUGUAGACAGUGAGUUGGAAUCAAUGACAUGCUCUCUAUGUAGCAAGGAGGUGAGCAGUAAGGAUUACACUCAGCACUUGUCAGGCUACCAUGUCCAAGAGCGUUGUGACCAGUGUGGUGUUAAAGUCUGAGACUUUUGUAUAUAGCUACAUUGUGUUUUAUAUUUUGUGUGUUUGUGUUCUCAUUUAAAAAAAAAAAAAAAAAAAAAAAAAAAACACAACUCUUGUGGUGUAAUAGUAACACAUCCAUCCAUCCGUUGGGUGGAAGAUUCCAGGUGCAAGUCCUGGCAAGAGUGUGUGACUUGUUGGUCGAAUCAGUAUUUAUUUCAAAAUGAUUUCAUUGUAAGUUGUAGUAAGUGGAUUUGCAUUUUUUCCUCCUUUCCUUCUCUCUUUUCCCCCUUUCCCCCUUUCCCCCUUUUUUCCUUUUCUUCCCCCCCCUUUAGCAGUCCCUUUUCCCUCAUUCUUGGCCGAGUGGUUAAGGCGAUGGACUGCUAAUCCAUUGUGCUCUGCACGCCUCGGUUCGAAUCCCAUCCUCGUCGUGAAGGGCUCUCAAGGGCUUGUGUUGUCUUUCUCAAACGAGCAUACGACGCCAUUUUAGGGACAACAUCACCAGUGUCCAGCUCCUUCCCUUCCAUACCUUCCCUUUCUUGAUGAGUGGCUGUAUUUCCAUCUGGCUCUAAAGCGCAUCCUUUAUGUGACGAGGUGGCCGAGUGGUUAAGGCGAUGGACUGCUAAUCCAUUGUGCUCUGCACGCGUGGGUUUGAAUCCCAUCCUCGUCGUGAAGGGCCCUCAAGGGCUUGUGUUGUCUUUCUCAAACGAGCAUACGAGGCCAUUUUAGGGACUACAUCACCAGUGUCCAGCUCCUUUCCUUCAUAUCCCUGCAUGGCCCUGGCAAAGGCUUUGAGGUGCUUGGGGUGCAUUGGCAGCCUGCCUGAAAGUUGGUGGUGCCCCCACCGUCCCUGUGCUUCCCUUGGCCAGGAAGGCCAGCGCCAGCUCGGUCUUGUACAACUCAUACUUACCUGGCAGGGGCGAUACAAUGAUCAAGAAGGUUGUUUGCCCAGGGCGAGGCUCGGCCAUUGCACUCCGGUCGUGCUGACCCCUGCGAAUUCCUCAAAUGUAGGAAUCUCGACUGCACAAUUUCUGGUAGUGGGGAACUGCGUUCGCGCUCUCCCCUGACGUGAUGGUUUAAUGACAGACUAAAGUGCCGGCUUUGACUCGAGCUGACUGUAUCCUUCAUAUCCCUGCAUGGCCCUGGCAAAGGCUUUGAGGUGCAUUGGCAGCCUGCCUGAAAGUUUUUUUUUUUUUUUUUAAACUGAUUUUGUGUGUGUUUGCUUGUUAGUUCAGUGUCCAGAAGCCACGCCUACGCAGUUAAAGUGCCUGCGACAGACAGACAGACAGACACACCGUGAGGGCCGCGCCCGGUGCCGUCCUAGCACCCGGGCCAGAGGCCAUGUGGAAGGCACGCUCGGGUUUCUCUUCAACUCGUACAAAUCUUUCGCCUUUUACUAAAGAUUUCCGUGGAGGGGAACACCCCCGAGUUUACGGUAUUUUUGGAAGCUCUGCUUCGGCGGAGCAUCGUCUGUCUAAAGUCAAGUUUGUUCCCUGUUCUCCUCUCUGUUCCUCUGGUUAGGUCCUCUCUGUUCCUCUGGCUUGUUCCGCCGUGCGUGGUGGUGGUUCCCCAAGGCAUGGCGAUGAGCUCCAGCAAGGACUAUUUGAAAUGUGGGGAGGCUGUUCAAAUAUAUUCAAGUGCACUCCAGCUGACUGUAUCCUUCAUAUCCCUGCAUGGCCCUGGCAAAGGCUUUGAGGUGCUUGGGGUGCAUUGGCAGCCUGCCUGAAAGUUUUUUUUUUUUUUUUUAAACUGAUUUUGUGUGUGUUUGCUUGUUAGUUCAGUGUCCAGAAGCCACGCCUACGCAGUUAAAGUGCCUGCGACAGACAGACAGA
ensembl:lncRNA